AUUGAACGCUGGCGGCAGGCCUAACACAUGCAAGUCGAGCGAGCGGCGGACGGGUGAGCAAGGUAUGGGAAUCUGCCUGGGGGAGGGCGAUAACUAAUGGAAACGGUGGCUAAUACCGCAUAGCUUCGGAUGGGCCCAGAUGGGAUUAGCUAGUAGGUGGGGUAAAGGCUCACCAAGGCGACGAUCCCUAGCUGGUCUGAGAGGAUGACCAGCCACACUGGAACUGAGACACGGUCCAGACUCCUACGGGAGGCAGCAGUGGGGAAUAUUGCACAAUGGGCGCAAGCCUGAUGCAGCCAUGCCGCGUGUGUGAAGAAGGCCUUCGGGUUGUAAAGCACUUUCAGCGGGGAGGCGUUACCCGCAGAAGAAGCACCGGCUAACUCCGUGCCAGCAGCCGCGGUAAUAC
rnacentral:rRNA from 1 species